UGGGGAAUAUUGCACAAUGGGCGAAAGCCUGAUGCAGCGACGCCGCGUGGAGGAAGAAGGUCUUCGGAUUGUAAACUCCUGUUAAAUGGGAAGAAAGACUGUUGGUUAAUACCCAAUAGAGAUGACGGUACCAUUAGAGAAAGCUCCGGCUAACUUCGUGCCAGCAGCCGCGGUAAUACGAAGGGAGCAAGUGUUAUUCGGAUUUACUGGGCGUAAAGGGUGUGUAGGCGGUUUAUUAAGUUGGUUGUUAAAUUUCACUGCUUAACGGUGAGCAAGCAAUCAAUACUGAUGAGCUAGAGGGUGGAAGAGAGGAGUGGAAUUCUUGGAGUAGCGGUAAAAUGCGUAGAUCUCAAGAGGAACACCAAUUGCGAAGGCAGCUCCUUGGUCCAUACCUGACGCUGAAACACGAAAGCGUGGGGAGCAAACAGG
rnacentral:rRNA from 1 species